UUUCUGGUCUUCUAGGUUUA
rnacentral:siRNA from 1 species